CUUAUCUUACGAUACAUCCGAAGGCUGUAUGCUGUAAAGCCUGUAACGUGGAUGAGAGAUAAAGCUAUGGAUGUAUUAAGAGAAGCUCUAUUCACGAAACUGCAGGCUAACCUAGCAGGACAUAAUGAUUACACCUCCUUGGUUGUCUAAAUACAUCCAUCGUUUAUUUAGAUAAUCAUGGUAAGACCUUAAGUACAGACUAUUAUUAUUUACACUUCAAAUAUUCUUUUUGCAAUCAGUACAAAUUGUAUGGUCUUUUAUUUCAGAUGAAUCCAUUCCACAAGCAAGCAAGCAUUUCAGGACGGAGCGUGUGUCUGGAAGCCCUGUCCGUCAGCAGAUGUUAUUGCCUCCACCACCUGCAUGAAACCUGCCAGUCGCCCAGAGCUGGAUGGGUCGAUUGUGAUGCAAGCUCGGCCUGCCACUUCUUGGA